CUCCUACAUGUCCGCCGCGCCUUCCGCUUCCCUACUUGGCGCCGGGCGGCACGAAGCGCCGCCGAGCUGUUGGCAUUCUGUCCCGCUGCUUUAGCCGGGCGUCCCUGGUGCGGGAGGCCGCCGGGACGGGCGCAGAAGGGAUGCGGGGUCGCAGCACUGCGGGGGCUCCCCGGGCCGGCGGGGAUCAGCUAAAGCUUCAUCUCUUAACCUCUCAAGAACCUUGACUCCUCUUAGUGACAGAACCAGCCCCUGACAGUGCUCUCUGACCUGCAGCCAGUUUCUUUUAAUGAGCUGAGGAGCAAACAGAGUUUGGAAAAUCCAUGUGAUGGGACAGAAAGCAGGAAAGAAGUUGGAAUUGGUGAUCUCAAUUAAUGAAGAACUGAAAGAGACACACGUCGGACAUAGAAAACAAUGGCUGAAGAGGCAUGUGAAGAGAAGGAAAAUGAAUCACUUAGCCAUCAAAAAAAGCUGAACAGUACUUGAAUCAGAUGCACAAGGACAGCAUAAAACUAACUGAAAGAAUAUUGCCCUUGGAAGAACAACUUCUUCAGAAUCUCUCUGAAAUUUCAUCUACCCUGACUACUCCAGCCAGUUUCACAAUGAACAAAGGAAUCUCAAAGGCUGCCCCAGGUUCUAGGAGUAACUUAAAGCCGGGCCUCUCAGGAACACUUCUGAUUCAAGGAGACUCUGUGUACAAUUGGGAGUCUUCCUGGGAACACUUUCAGUUAUUUAAAUGUUGUAAUACCUUUUUAAAAUACCUUUCAUGCCUUUUAUGAAGGCUUGCAUGAAAUGUGGCUGUGAAAUAAUGUGCAGUGUUUGAUACUACAGACAUUCCAGGAUGAUUCACUUGCAGCCUUCUGUACUUGUUCCAAGGGCAACAUAUCUGCAAGCUCAGUGACUGAUACGUCUUUUGCUUUCACAGAGGUCAUUACAGACAAAUCAACAAAGAUAACUGGAUCUGAAAUAUAAAUUACAGCAUGCCUGAGAAUUACAUGAUAACUGGGUUGUUCUUUACACAUUCUUCAUUGCCAGAACUAUCAAAUGUUGUACAUCUUAGUCAAGACAAAUAGUGGUGACAAAAAGAGAAGUGUAUUACCUGGAAAUCUGUCACUCUACAUCAAGCUCCCUUGGCAUUUUCAGAUGCUUGUUUUGCAUCAGGCUGUUUGUCUUAAGGAAAAAUCUAUAGAUUGGUAUCACCCAGGGAGCUGACUUAGGCUUUACUCAGAGUCUGAUGCAACAGCAAUUCACACAGAUUGUGCUUUAGAUUUACAAAAGCCACAGCAACAGCCUGUGAGGAAAGCUUGACCCUUGCUGUAGAUUCCACCAUGGUGGACAAAAACUGGAAGUGGCAGAAGAUAAGUGAAGAUCGUAUCAGAAGAGUAUUGUUACAUGAGGGCUGUUUUGUGACCUUUCUUUGUAAAUGUGCUGUGGAACAAAGAAUCCCCAUCCCAAAUUACUUUUCUUAAACCACAUCAAAACUGGAUUGUCAGUGGCCAAAUUUCAUUUCAGAGAAUACAAGGCUGCUGUGGGGCUUCUCUGCUGCCCUAGCAUGGGAGGAAGAGGCCAGUGAUUGUGAUUCUAAAUAAAUAGGUAGUGAUAUGAAGAGAUAUCUAGCUUUAUCCCCUUGGCUUCCUGCCCAGAUUUGAGGUGCUUUCUACCUACAUAGCCUCUCUAUGAAAGCUGUAAGAAAAAGAGUGCUAGAAAUGAGAUGUUCCCUGUUUGCAGUGCUCUCUUAGUCCCCAAACACUAGCUCUUAGUUGGAACUCCUGGAUGCAGAGGGAUUGGGGACCCUAGAAGGGGGAAAUGAGGUUGAAGAGGCAUUAGUUGAGGGGUAUGGGAAGAGAUCUGUUUUUUCUGAAUUCCCAACAUUUAACAAUACCCAGAAAGUUUUACAGUGUUAACGUUUCUCUGGUGAGGGGGAGGGUGAGAACUGUAUUGUGAAAAACCUAAGUAUGUUGACCCAUCUUGGAACUAAUAAUUACCAGUUUUCUGCAAGACUAAUGGAGGAAAAUUUUACUGUAGAGUGGAAAAAAGAUGAUUGAUAACACUGCUCAUGAAGAAGUCAAAUAGCCCUGGGUUAAAGACUGGAGAGUUCUAGAAUUGCUGACUUGUAAAGUAACAAGAAGCUUUAUGAACACAGGUAAUUACUUUGUUCUCUGACCUUGUAAGAUAAUAAGAAAUUAAUUGAAGGGUUACUUGAGCUGUACAUUGCUAACAUUUUAUGCUAAGUAUUAAAUUAAUAACUCCUAAUUUUUAAGCCUUAAGGCCCUAGAAGAAUUUUUUUCCUAACUGAGGCUUAGCAGGAAAGGUUAAAAAAAUUCUCUCAGCUGUAAGAUGCUGGAAAUCAAGUUAUACAAUUUUUUUUUCACCAAGAUUACAUUCACUCUACCAAUAAAAUGCAGAAAAAUUAAGUAGAUUAAGUCUGAGCAAAAGAUACCAAUGUGGCAUUUUACCUUUUGAAAUUAUUUAAGCACAAAUUAUUACAAGCACAAUUUAAAAUAUUGUCCAUCAGUUCUGCAAAUCAACUUCUAUUCUCAAAUGAAUGUUGUAAAAAUAAAAUAUAAGUUUAAGAUCAAUAUUGUGACAAGAUGAAAUCACAACCAUAUUCUCUUUGCUUGUCUGUAAUUUGUCAGUAGAAAAAUGGAAUCUGGUAAGAGCUUGCCACAUGCACAUCAGGGUGAAAAAUUACUUGGCCAAUUACUGUAAAUUUGUGCUUAAAUUUAAAGGCAUUCUUUUAAAUUCUGUCAUUCCAAAUACUGACACUGACAAGCUAAACCAUGAACCUGGUAACUGUUAAAACUCUCAGGAAUGAUUUAGUGAAUAUUAGUUAAUGAGUGUUACAGGCUGCUGUAGAUUGUUAAUGCUAUGAGGAAAGGUAUGUGUGAUACACAGCUUGGAAUAGAAAUACUUAAAUUCAUUUUCCUGCAGGCUACCAGGCUAAAGGUUCUCAA